GGGAGCCCGGAAACCUGGUAUGCCGGCAAAAAGGGCUGGAGUGCAAUGACACGAUCUUGGCUGACUGCAACCUCUGCCUCCCGGGUUCAAGCAAUUCUCCUGCCUCAGCCUCCUGAGCAGAUGGGAUUACAGGUCUUUAGAUAAACUCUUUCAACCAACUGCCAAUCAGAAAAUCUGUGAAUCUGCCUGUGAUCUGGAAGCCUCUGCUUCCUGGUGUGCCACCUUUCCCGUCUGAACUGAUGUACAGCUUAAAUGUAUUGAUUGAUGCCUUAUGCCCUAUAGCAUGUAUAAAACCUAGCUGUGCCCUGAUCACCUGGGUCACACGUUCUCCGGGUCUCCUGAGGACUGUGUCACGGGCUGUGGUCACUCACGUUUGGCUCGAAAUAAAUCUCUCCAAUAUUUU
rnacentral:lncRNA from 10 species